UAAUACGUAGGGUGCAAGCGUUAAUCGGAAUUACUGGGCGUAAAGCGUGCGCAGGCGGCUUUGCAAGACAGAUGUGAAAUCCCCGGGCUUAACCUGGGAACUGCAUUUGUGACUGCAUGGCUGGAGUGCGGCAGAGGGGGAUGGAAUUCCGCGUGUAGCAGUGAAAUGCGUAGAUAUGCGGAGGAACACCGAUGGCGAAGGCAAUCCCCUGGGCCUGCACUGACGCUCAUGGUCGAAAGCGUGGGGAGCAAACAGGA
rnacentral:rRNA from 1 species